rnacentral:lncRNA from 1 species
CCGGGUUCGGACGGUGCUGGGUUCGAACGGUGCUGGGUUCGAACUCGGAGCGUUGCAUUCGGACGGGCGGGGCUGGGUUCCGAUGGGGCUGGGUUCGGAAGGGGCUGGGUUGGGACGGUGUUGGGUUCGGGAGAUGCUGGGUUCCGAUGGUGCUGGGCUCGAUCCAGUGGUAUUACAUUCCGACGGGCGGGGCUGGGUUCGGAAGGUGCUGGGUUCCGACGGUGCUGGGCUCGAACCGGCUAUGCUGGGCUCGAUCCGGUGGUAUUGCAUUCCGACGGGCGGGGCUGGGUUCGGAAGGUUCUGGGUUGCGA